CAGGGAAUAUUAGUAAUGGGCGAAAGCCUGAACUAGCAACGCCGCGUGUGCGAAGAAGGCCUUCGGGUUGUAAAGCACUUUUUGAGAGGAUGAGGAAGGACGGUACUCUCAGAAUAAGUCUCGGCUAACUACGUGCCAGCAGCCGCGGUAACACGUAGGAGGCGAACGUUAUCCGGAUUUACUGGGUGUAAAGCGCGUGCAGGCGGACGGGUAAGUUGGGUGUGAAAGCUCCUGGCUAAACUGGGAGAGGUCGCUCAAGACUGCCGGUCUAGAGCAUGGUAGGGGAAGGCGGAAUUCCGGGUGUAGUGGUGAAAUGCGUAGAUAUCCGGAGGAACACCAGUGGCGAAAGCGGCCUUCUAGACCAUGACUGACGCUCAGACGCGAAAGCUAGGGUAGCAAACGG
rnacentral:rRNA from 1 species